ACCAAUGCUUCCACUUCUUUCCUCUCAUUUCCCAUCGAAGCCACUAAAUCAGGAUUUCAAUUCCUUCAUUUUCAUCCGAUAAUAUCGAUAUUCCCUUCAAGAUUAUGGAAGAAGAUCCAACCAAACACUGAUCUCUUUCCACUAGACUCACACUCCUGUUAUCUGGCCUCCAUCCUCAAUUGAAAUACAUAUUCCAACCUCAACCUCACAUUUUCUUACCACGAGUUAUUUCGCCAAAACUUAUAAACCACUAGCUCAUUCCUUUCCAUUGAAAUAUGUAACCUAACCUCAACCUCACAUCUCCUUUCCACGAGUUCCUUUGCCAAAGCUUAUCAACCACUAGCUCGUUCCUUUUGCAGACUGUAUUUGAUAGAUUUUCGAUUUUGGUCUCCUCCAUUGAUAAAUGUCCAGUCUUUGACGAUUCACUAGAACUUUUUCAACUGCUGCACGACUUCAUUUUUCUAAUUGAUUUAAAUUUUUUGUUUGAGGUAUUACUAUUUUGGAUCUCAGAGUAUUCUCUUCAGAGUCUAGUGAUUGUGAAUUCAAUUCAAAUUUUUAAUUUUGUGUCGAUAAUGUUCUGGAUUGGAGAGUUCGUAGAUUUAUAAUUUAAUAUGACAUGAUUUUUUAGAUUUGUUACUUUUAGUGUUGUAUUUAUUUUUUUUUAACAAAAAAAAAAAUAUAAGCUCUCUAUUUACAAAUAACUCUGUUAAACAUCUAUAUAAUUAUUUUUUAACAUAUUAAUAUGCGUGUAUUUACGUAACAAAUAAUGCAGUUAAAAGUUAAUUAAUUCUAUUUUUUAAAAGUACAGUCAUGUAUAAUAAAAAUUUUAAAAGUUAAAAAUAUUAUGAGAUUUUCAUUUUUCUUAUAAAGUUAGAUAUUUAUCUAUAUAUAUAUAUAUUUAAUAAAAAAAAUGAGAAAGAAAAAAGUUUAUUUUCAGAAUAAAUAAUUUUCUCCUUAUAUUUAAUUUUAUCAAAAAAAUCUGCUUUGAUAGAGAAAUUUUUCAUUUAAUAUAACUAAAAUAUAGAGAUUUAAUUUGUUAAAUUUGAAAAAUAGAGGACACAUAUAUUAAUUUUAAUAUAUUUCAGAAAUAUGAAAGUAAUUUUUCCACAUUUUUCUAUUUAUUGUUUUUAAUACUUUUUUUUUUUUCGGUUUGACAGUGAAGCUUUAACCACUGAGGUCUGAAAGGGUCCCACUGCAAAGUGAGCUGGCAGGUCCCACUCAUACGUCAACCUCAUCGCCAGCUUCCAGCACUGAACGUACACGCCAAGGACAAUUUUGGAUAUCCUUCCCAUAAGUUGCGCGUCUAUUCCCACAUCUUUAUAAUCUCUCUCUCUUUCUCUCUCCACUACUAAUCCUAAUUAAUUAAUUAAUUAAUUAAUUAAAUUAACCACAUAAACAAAUAAUUAACCGAAUCCCACUUCUUCC
rnacentral:lncRNA from 1 species